AGUCGAGCGGGGAGAGUAGCUUGCUACUUAACCUAGCGGCGGACGGGUGAGUAAUGCUUAGGAAUCUGCCUAUUAGUGGGGGACAACAUCUCGAAAGGGAUGCUAAUACCGCAUACGUCCUACGGGAGAAAGCAGGGGACCUUCGGGCCUUGCGCUAAUAGAUGAGCCUAAGUCGGAUUAGCUAGUUGGUGGGGUAAAGGCCUACCAAGGCGACGAUCUGUAGCGGGUCUGAGAGGAUGAUCCGCCACACUGGGACUGAGACACGGCCCAGACUCCUACGGGAGGCAGCAGUGGGGAAUAUUGGACAAUGGGGGGAACCCUGAUCCAGCCAUGCCGCGUGUGUGAAGAAGGCCUUUUGGUUGUAAAGCACUUUAAGCGAGGAGGAGGCUACCGAGAUUAAUACUCUUGGAUAGUGGACGUUACUCGCAGAAUAAGCACCGGCUAACUCUGUGCCAGCAGCCGCGGUAAUACAGAGGGUGCAAGCGUUAAUCGGAUUUACUGGGCGUAAAGCGCGCGUAGGUGGCCAAUUAAGUCAAAUGUGAAAUCCCCGAGCUUAACUUGGGAAUUGCAUUCGAUACUGGUUGGCUAGAGUAUGGGAGAGGAUGGUAGAAUUCCAGGUGUAGCGGUGAAAUGCGUAGAGAUCUGGAGGAAUACCGAUGGCGAAAGCAGCCAUCUGGCCUAAUACUGACACUGAGGUGCGAAAGCAUGGGGAGC
rnacentral:rRNA from 1 species